GUUGCAGAUAAUUGGACAGUUACCACAUUUUAACUAACUCUUUUGGCCUGUUAAUUCUUUUCAGCUCAAAUCAACAGUGAAAAAUGCCCAUAAUAUCACUUUUAAACGCCUUGUAAGAAAAUACACGCACUUUAAAAAUUAUCAUUACAAUGCAUUCCAGACGCUUUACUCUAUUAAUAAAUGUAUUUCCUUUACAGCUCAACCGAUUUUUACAACUAUGCCCCAGAUCUGAAAGGUUACUGCAAUACAUGAUUGAAUUAAUACCUUAAUGAUCUUGGGAGUAAAUAUUUCAGUUUUUUGUUUUCAGUUAUUCAUUUAACAUCUCCAGACUUAUCAGAAAGUUACAGUCAGGUCCAGCUGUUAAAUCUUCAUACUAGUAUUCAACAACUGACCUAUGUACAUCGAUGAUGAAGUUACAAUCUGGACAAGAUCUGACAGACGCAAUUAAGUGAAUCGACAUUGUGACGGUUGUUUUAUCGAAAUUAUGUUAUUAACGGUAUAUGGUGAUUAAAAUGUAUUUAACAAAUUACAA